rnacentral:rRNA from 1 species
UACGUAGGGUGCGAGCGUUGUCCGGAAUUAUUGGGCGUAAAGAGCUUGUAGGCGGUCUGUCGCGUCUGCUGUGAAAACCCGGGGCUCAACCCCGGGCCUGCAGCCGAUACGGGCAGACUAGAGUUCGGCAGGGGAGACUGGAAUUCUUGGUGUAGCGGUGAAAUGCGUAGAUAUCUGGAGGAACACCGGUGGCGAAGGCGGCAUCCUGGACCAACACUGACGCUGAGGAGCGAAAGCGUGGGGAGCAAACAGG